GAUACGCGGGGCCCAAGCCCAAUUUCAUUAGUUUAGUAAUUCUUUUAUGUACUUUGUAUUGUGUUAGGCAUGUGGGACUUCUAGUCCUAUAAAUAGCCAUGCUUACACUUCUUGUACUUACUUUUGAGAUAAUUGAAUUGUUUACUGUUGAGAAUUACUCCAGAGCAAUUCUACCUUGAAAGUCAAGGCUAGAGAAUCCCAAAGGAUCUCCUCUAGCCACCUUCCAUCUCACACUUACCAUUCUCUUAUUUCUCCUCGUCAGAUUCUCUUUCCUCCGUAACAUCACCUCACCAUUCCCUGCUUGGCACGCGUCACGCAUCGCUGCCACACGAGCCUAUUACUCGAAGGCUCCAAAGAUCAUCAACAUUUCACUCUCUCGCCAACAUUCCAGAGCUCUCGUGUUAUAUCCUUCGCAGAGCAUCAUCCACC
rnacentral:lncRNA from 1 species